UCUGGGGCCCCGCGCACCUGUGCAGCUCCAACUCGUCACACCUGAGCCGGCCCCGCCCCGCCCCGCCCGCGCCCCUUAAAUCCCGGCCGAUCCACGCCUGCUCCCCUCUCUGCGGUGGAUGCUCAUCCCGGGAUGCGGCGGGACCGUCGCGAGGAGCGCUGCGCGGAGCCCGAGGCGCUGAGGCAUAUCUUGAGUGGGAAGGGAUGCAGAAGGAGCACCGAGCUGAACCCUUAUGUGAACACCUCGUCUGGGGAUUGAACACACAACCUGGGUUCAGCACCCUGCUCCAACCAGCCGAUCUCGGGUCCGUGGCAGUGUCGUGCCUGGGAUGGGAAUGCCAAGCGCCAGCAAGGGAAUUCCUAUGCCAAUGCAGCUCCUUCUUUGAUGCUGAUACUGCUUUAUGCAGCAGCCCCUGGAAUGUCCCAGGACAGAGCUCCGUGGCCAGCACCUGACCGUGGAACAACACAGGGAGGAAUGAGCAAGACAAGCCCUGAGGGUUCCCUUGGUCCGUGGCCGAAGUUCUUCUGGAGAGCGUCAGGGUUGGUCCUGCCUGCAGAGGGGCGUCUCCUGCAGGUGAGUGUUCCCAGCCCAAAAUCAAGGCUGGGGUCUGAGGCCGGGGCUGCUCCUCUGGCCCAGAGCUGCACGGAGCCCUCGGUGACUCCUGCUCGCUGCCGGCGACGUUCCUUGGUGUUUCUGUGGGUCCCAGCCGGCCGGGAGCGCGGGGCGGGAGGAGGCCGGCAGCCCCCGAAAGGCAACCAGCACUUCUUGUCCUUGGGGCGUGCAGGGGAGGAGCCGUGCCUGCAGCGUCCCGCCCGCGGCACGCAGCGUGCCAAACACGCGUCCCAGGGACGGGCGCCGGGCUGCUCGGACAGCGCCGGCACAGGCACGGCUGAAGGGCUGCCCGCAGCUCCUCGGCCAGGGGCUGCUCUGCACGGGCACGGGGAGAUGCUUCACCCCGCACGGAGGCCACCGAGAGCCCCGAGGCGCCCCGAGGAGCAGCUGGCACUGCCUGGGCACGGGCGGCUCGGGCCAUCCGCAGAGGGGCUCAGACGGCGAUUCCCGGUUCCCACCUCCCGGAGCUCCCCCGCGGCUGCCAGGUAUGUCCUGGCCACCCCAAAUCCCCCCCUUCCAGCCUGAGGACAUCAUCCAUCGGCAGCACUAAAGCCGAGGGGAUUUCCCUCACAGAGAUGAAAUCCCCAGCAAUUC